UACGGGGGGAGCAAGCGUUGUUCGGAUUUACUGGGCGUAAAGGGCGCGUAGGCGGUCAGCACAAGUCAGUUGUGAAAUCUCCGGGCUUAACUCGGAACGGCCAAGUGAUACUGUCACGCUAGAGUGCAGAAAGGGCAAUCGGAAUUCCUGGUGUAGCGGUGAAAUGCGCAGAUAUCAGGAGGAACACCGGUGGCGAAGGCGGUUCUCUGGGCAUGUCCUGACGCUGAGGAGCGAAAGUGUGGGGAGCGAACAGG
rnacentral:rRNA from 1 species